rnacentral:rRNA from 1 species
GCACCUCGAUGUCGGCUCAUCACAUCCUGGGGCUGUAGCAGGUCCCAAGGGUAUGGCUGUUCGCCAUUUAAAGUGGUACGCGAGCUGGGUUUAGAACGUCGUGAGACAGUUCGGUCCCUAUCUGCCGUGCGCGUUGGAAACUUGAAGGAAGCUGCUCCUAGUACGAGAGGACCGGAGUGGACGAACCUCUGGUGUUCCGGUUGUCACGCCAGUGGCAUUGCCGGGUAGCUAUGUUCGGACGGGAUAACCGCUGAAAGCAUCUAAGCGGGAAGCCCCUCCUAAGAUUAGGUUUCCCUUGAGCUUUAAGCUCACUGUAGGGCCCUUGAAGACUACAAGGUUGAUAGGCUGGGUGUGGAAGCGCAGUAAUGUGUGAAGCUAACCAGUACUAAUUGCCCGUGAGGCUUGACCAUAUAACACUCAAA